GCUUAGCCCCUAAACCUCAAUAAUUAUCAAAACCAAAAAAUAUUUGCCUGAGAACUACUGGCCACAGCUUAAAACUCAAAGGACUUGGCGGUACUUUAUAUCCAUC
rnacentral:rRNA from 1 species